GACGAACGCUGGCGGCGUGCUUAACACAUGCAAGUCGAACGGUGAAGCGCCUUCCUUUUUGGUGGGUGUGGAUGAGUGGCGAACGGGUGAGUAACACGUGAGUAACCUGCCCCCUUCUUCUGGAUAACCGCAUGAAAGUGUGGCUAAUACGGGAUAUUCUGGGUCUGUCGCAUGAUGGGUCUGGGAAAGAUAUUGUUUCGGGGGGGGAUGGGCUCGCGGCCUAUCAGCUUGUUGGUGGGGUGAUGGCCUACCAAGGCGGUGACGGGUAGCCGGCCUGAGAGGGUGGACGGUCACACUGGGACUGAGACACGGCCCAGACUCCUACGGGAGGCAGCAGUGGGGAAUAUUGCACAAUGGGCGCAAGCCUGAUGCAGCGACGCCGCGUGAGGGAUGGAGGCCUUCGGGUUGUGAACCUCUUUCGCCAGUGAAGCAGGCCUGCCUCGUUUGUGGGUGGGUUGACGGUAGCUGGAGAAGAAGCGCCGGCUAACUACGUG
rnacentral:rRNA from 1 species